rnacentral:lncRNA from 1 species
GUCGGCUGCUUGGGAAGUCUGAGGAUUACUGGGACUAACAGGACUUCAGCUGGGGCUUCAACGUGUGGUGUGGGCUUCCUGACACCACGGCCACUGGUUUCCAAGAGUUUCAACAAUAUUUUCAUCAUAUUUAUUGAAGGCCUCACUGACAGACUUCUCAAGGCCCCUCUACCUUCUAUUCGCUGCCUGGCCCCAAAGCCAGUGCCACACAUUUUAGGUUUUUAACUGCAGCAGCACCUAUGAUGUUUCCAAAAUCUGUAUCAUUAAAGUUUGAUCAGAGAAGCAAAACCACCUUGAGCAAAACAAGGAAUUUAUUAAAGAGAUUAGGAUACACAUUGUUAUGAAAGCUGCAACCUGCUGCCCCUGUGUCCAGAAGUGGGCCUGAAGUCAGCAGGGCUGGCAAAUGGAUGUGCAGUGGGAGAGAGUAGGCGUGAGCUGCACCUGCAGGGAGGAGAUGGAACUCCUGUGGAUGGACUGAAACUGAUGUCUUCCACGUCAGCCUCUCAGGCCUCCAACACUCCAGCGCUGAUGAUGAAGAUGACCUGCAGAGGAGCUGGUGCCCUUCACCAUGGAAUUGCUCAUAAACCCAAGAUUCAGUGAAGCUGAAGAAGCAGUUCUGGUGGGAGCUGGAGGAACUGCAGGCACAGCUGCUGCCCUGUACCAAUACAUUGAGCCAGUGGCUGCCUGGCAUUGUGUGUGAGCCACCACAGCGCCUGGCCCUACACAGACUUUGACUGUAAAUAUGACUGCUGUUUCACUUCUGCCUUCCAAAUUUUGCUCAGAUUUUCUGAGAAACAUAGUUCAGCUUAGGUACAUUGACACAGUACAAAGCCACCGCAGUGGCUGGUUAGGGAGGGAUUAUGAAUGCAGGCUGAGAAUGCACGGGAAGCGUUUGUCUAUUUAUAGAGUAGGUACCAUUCAAGGAUUUAUGUGAAUCAGGUGCAAAGAACUCACACAAAGAUGGGGAAAGUUAGUACUUAGAAAUCAGUGAUACUAGAUAACCAAUAAAUAAAAAUAAACUUAUUUUUAGAAAAUAAGAAAAUAGAAAAGCUUUAAUAAAAUAGUAUUGGGCCGGGUGCAGUGGCUCACGCCUGUAAUCCUAGCACUUUGGGAGACUGAGGUGGGCGGAUCACCUGAGGUCAGGAGUUCCAGACCAGCCUGGCCAACAUGGUGAAACCCAAUCUCUACUAGAAAAAACCACAAAAAUUAGCUGGGCGUGGUGGUACGUGCCUGUAAUCCUAGCUCCUCGGGAAGCUGAGGCAGGAGAAUCGCUUGAACUCAGGAGGUGGAGGGUGCAGUGAGCCAAGAUCGUGCCAUUGCACCCCAGCCUGGGUGACAGAACAAGAUUCUAUCUCAAAAAAAUAAAAAUAAAAAUAAAUAAAUAAAAUAGUAUUGAAAUGGUGAAUAAUACUAUUUCAGCACAUCCUAAACAGAUCAUGCAGAUAGUAAGAGGUUUUCUGCAUGAGUUUGCUAGGGCUGCCGUAACAAAACACCAUGGACGGGAGCUUUAACAACAGAAAUUGAUUUCUCACAGUUCUGCAGGCAGGGUGUUCAGGACCAAGAUAUUGGCAGGCUUGGUUUCUCUGAAUCCUCUCUCCUUGGCUUGCAGGUGGCUGUUUUCUUUUCUUUUUUCUUUUUUUUUCUUUGAGAUGGAGUCUCACUCUGUCACCCAGGCUGGAGUGCAGUGGCGCAAUCUCAGCUCACUGCAGCCUCUGCCUCCUGGGUUCAAGCGAUUCUCCUGCCUCAGCCUCCUGAAUAGCUGGGAUUACAGGUGCCUGCCACCACGCCCAGCUAAUUUUUGUAUUUUUAGUAGAGAUGGGGUUUCACCAUGUUGAUCAGGCUGAUCUCAAACUCAGGACUUCGUGAUCCACCUGCUUCGGCCUCCCAAAGUGCUGGGAUUACAGGUGUGAGCCACCACGCCCGGCAGCUUGCAGGUGGCUGCUUUCUUGCUGUGUGUUCACAUGGUCAUUCGUCUGUGUGUGCACACGUGUAGUGUCUGUGUCUGUGUCCUAGCCUCCUCUUCUUAUAAGGACACCAGUCAAACUGGAUUAGGGCCCACUUUCCUGACCCCCUUUUACCUUAAUUCCCAUUUUAAAAGGCUUAUCUUCAAAUACCAUCACAUUCUAAGGUACUGGGGGUUAGAGCUUCAAUAUGUGAGUUUUAGGGAGACACAGUUGAGCUCAUAACAUUUUCUAUAGAACAAUCAAGUUUGAGACAUGCCACAUGCUAUAUUUUCUUCUUGGAAAUUUGCAAGGUAUAUAUGCAUAUGAAUGACUGUGCAAAGUCCUGGAAAACAUCCAGUAUUCAUCUUUCACACUCUCCCUGUUUGAUCCAUUAUUUAUUGAUAACCUUCCACUGGCUUCCUUUAUGCAUUGGCUGAGUGCAUUGAGCUGCCGCAUGGAAAUAUGAUCUGCCGGCUGCCGCUGGCAGUCAGGAAGGGAAGGUGGACAUGGAGAGAGCAAGCAAAAGCUGGAGUCUCAAGGAGAUGAAGUGGAACCCAGGGCUGUAUCUCAUUAGAGCGCAUGUUGGCCUCUCAUCACUUCCAGGCCUCCGGCUUUGAAGAUGCUCGGGGAGUUGCUUUGGAGGGCUACGUGGAGAGAAUGGGAUUGGUAAGUGGGCAAGAGGGUUGGUUCUUGCUGGAUGGAAUUGCGUCUUCCAUCUCUUCCAAGGGGACUUCUGGAUUGCCAGGGGCCUGGCAUGUCCUGCCUCACCCAUACUUGCUGGCCAGGGUGAGUGGCCUCUCACCUGGCCUAACCUUGCUGCCCUCUUUGUUGUGCUCUUUGUGGGUGAGGAAAAGAGCAGAGCUGCGGAUGCCACUGGAGCGUGGCCAGGCUGGGUGAGGACCCACACAGAAAAGUGUGGGCAGGCGUGGUGGGUGGGGGCGGGGGAUAAGGCAUGGGCCCUGGGCAGUCAGCCAGUGCCCCCGUCACGCCCUGGCUCCAGGUGUCCAGCAUCAGCCGUGUGCACAUCCCACCUCGCAGGCCUCUCCCGGCUGCUGGCCCACUUUCUGCAUGCUACUCCUACUUCUCUGACCUCCUGCUCAGCUCAGCUAUCCUAGCUCCGAGUUUCGCCUUUCUUCUUGAAUACAAUCAGAAUUCUCUCUGUUGGCCCUGGACCCCCAUGCUGAACAAUUCCCAUGGUGCUGGCCUUCUCUCAAUCCUCUGAAUUAAACCCCAGACUCACUGCAAGUCUUCAGCCAAGUGAAGACUUCCGGUGGCCUCUCUGCCACCCUGGCACUCGAGGAAGCAGAUGCUUCUCUCUCUUCCUGUAGUGCUCUUACCAUGAAUCAUCUCCAGGUCCUCCCAACAGGAUCAGUCAGCUCCUCAUCUCAGCUGUGCUGUAACCCUGGUAUCUCUGCAGCCUGGUGAAGAUGACGGUGUUUUAAUGAAGCGUACAUCUCUACAGUAACUGGCCUGGCACAUGCAAACAGGAACAGCAGCUUCCUCUCCUGCAAGGCACGGUGCAGAUUGCUUUCCACGCAUUAUUUCUGCUCCUCGCACCACCCUCCCCAACCCGAAAGAUAGAGCAUAUUGUCCUAAUUUUACCAAGCAGAAAACUGGCUCCCAGAGAGCAGCUCUGCUCAGCUAGGGCAUGUCAGAGCACUGCCUGGGACCCACAUCUCCUGACUCCAGGGCCAAGGCACCUCUGGGCCCUCACACGGGCAUUAAUAGAGAUACAUUUCAUGUUCAAACCAGCCCUUUGGCCAAGCAUCAUCCUCAGUCUCUCAGAACUUACUGCAUUUUCUUCUAAACCCCAAUUCAAAAGUUCCAUAUAGCAUGGUGGUUCGUGCCUAUAAUCCCAGUGGGAGGCCAAAGUGGGGGGACUGCUUGAAGCCAGGAAUUUGAGACCAGCCUGGGUAACAAAGCGAGACCCCAUGUGUAAAAAAUAAAAUAAAUGAAAAAUUAGCUGGGCGUGAAGGUGCACUCUUGUAGUCCCAGCUACUCCAAAGUCUAAGGCGGGAGAAUUACUUAAGCCCAGGAGUUCGAGGCUGCAAUAAGUCAUGAUUGUACCGUAGCACUCCAGCCUGGGUGACAGAGAGAGACCCUGUCUCUAAAAAACAAAAGAAAUAAAAAAUUAGCUGAGCAGGGUUGCACAUACCUGCAGUCCCAGCUCCUUGGGAGGCUGAGGCAGGAGAAUUGCUUGAGUCUAGGAGGUCAAGGCUGCAGUGAGCUGUGGCCGUACCACUGCACUCCAGCCUGGGCGACAGAGCAAGACUCUGUCUCAAAAAAAAAAAAAAAAAAGUCCCUCAGUAGGCUCUGUCAUAAUACUCCCCUUGGUAUUCACUGCACUUGGUAACCCUGAAACAAUUCCUACAGUGAACCCCAUUCACUGAAUUGCUUUGGGAAACGUACACUUUCUAAAUUAAAGCUGUCACAUUAGUGUGAGAGUUAUGCUUACCCAGGAGGUCUGGACGCAUUUCUCUCCUGGUUUGGCCUUGAUCUGUUAUCCUUGCGGCUUCCUUUUUCAGAAUCUCCCUCUCUCGUCUCUGCCUCCACAGUCGGUCCCCACCCCACAUCUCACAGAAUGUAUUUGCAUUCUAAGCAACAUCCCUUCAAACCUCACACAUGUCUUUUUCUCCUAUAUAUAUUUAAAAGUAAUACAUUUAAGGAUGUGCCAACUUAAUUAAAUACUCUUGAGAUACUCACAAAAUCAUGGGAGUUGUCCAUGGUGGCAUUUCUUCUUUUUAUCUUGAGAUGGAGUCUAGCUCUGUCACAGUGGUGUGAUCUCGGCUCACUGCAACCUCUGCCUCCUGGGUUCAGGUGAUUCUCUUACCUCAGCCUCCCGAGUAGCUGGGAUUACAGGCGCCCACCACCAUGCCUGGCUAAUUUUUGUAUUUUUAGUAGAGAUGGGUUUUCACCAUGUUGGCCAGGCUGGUCUGGAGCUCCUGACCUCAGGUGAUCCACCUGCCUUGGCCUCCAAAAGCGCUGGGAUUACAGGCAUGAGCCGCCACACCCAGCCCUGUGGUGCACUUCUUAAGCAGAAUUUUGUGUUCAUGCCAUCGAGAAAGGGCUAGUAAAAUAUUUUGUAUUUCUUUAAGACUUAGUUUAAAAAGCGUUGUAAAAAUAUUUUCUCACCAGAUCCUUAAACAAUCUCUAAGAGGAUUAGGCUGGUUGGUAUUUUACAGAUGAGGAAAUAGGCUCAGAGUGGGUGGGUGACUUGGAGCACCCUGCAGCUGAUGUGGAGGGAGGUCUUCUGAGCCAAGGUCCGUGCACAUUGUCUACACCACACCGCACUACACGUGGUGUAGACCAUGUGCACUGACUUUAGCUCGGAAGACCUCUCUCCACAUCAUGGAUAAAUGUAGCUUUUAUCCAGAGGGCCUACUGACGCCCUGUUUGGUGGACCAGUGCCCUGUAAUAAAAGCAAACCUUAUCCUCUGUUGGAAGUCCCAUGUCCACAAUUCCGUUAAGAAUUCUGGCCUGUGCUUGCGCCCUUGCUGGCUAUAAUGUGAUGGAGAUGUGGUUGAAACGACCACGGGGAGAGUUUCAGUGACAUCUCGUUUUCUCCCCUGAGUCUGGGAUAUGGAACACACAGUCUCUUCCUUCAGCUUCUUAGUCUCCUGGGUGGGAGAGGGGAGGAACAUCCAUUUAUAUCAGGGGUGUCCAAUCUUUUGGCUUCUUCCCUGGGAAGAAGAAGAAUUGUCUUGGGUCACACAUAAAACACACUAACGAUAGCUGAUGAGCUAAAAAGCAAUCACAUACCCAAAAAAAUCUCAUGAUGUUUUAAGAAAGUUUACGAAUUUGUGUUGGGCCACAUUCAAAGCUGUCCUGGGCCUCUUGCAGCCCAUGGGCUGUGAGGUUGGACAAGCUUCAUUUACGCCAAUUGCAGGAGAAAUCACUAGGUUGAUGGAGUUCAGAACCAAUCGUGGCCUCAAGAAAGCUCUCAUUGCCUCGCUACUGCCAGAUAAAAAUGUAGAAUCUGAAACCAAAUCUGUCUAUGCAGGGUUUGGAAACUGGUCACUAUGGAAGCAGAUACAGUCUGACAGUAUAUGACCUUCUGCUGGUUUUGUCCAAGUUAAGCCAGACUUUAUGAGAACAAACCAGCCACGUGAAAAGCUAGAGAAGAACAUACCAGGAAUAAAGACUAGGAAACAGGGAGCCCUGAGGAAGGAAUGCACAGAGUGAGUUUCAGCAACAGAAAGGUCUUCAUUGUGGCUAAAGCAAAAUUGGCAAACUUCUUUUGUAGUGGGCCAGCUAGCAAAUAUUUCAAGCUUUGUGGGCCAUUUAGCCUUGGUUGCAACAGCUGAGCUCUAAAAAAUAAGAGCUGCUUCUUUAGCCUAAAAGCAACCCUGGACAAUACGUAAAUGAAUGGGCAUGGCUAUGUUGCAACGUAACUUUAUUUAUCAACACUGAAAUUUGAAUUGCAUCUCAUUUUCAUGUGUCACAAAAUAUUGCUUUUCUUUUUUCUUUUUUUCUAGCCAUUUAAAAAUGUAAAAAUCAUUCUUGGUUCAGAGGCUGUACAAAAACAGGGAGUAGGCUGGCUUUUGCCUGUGGGCUGUCGUGUGGAGACCUCUAUGCUAAGCACAGUGAGCAGGGAAAAGAAUAGUUGCAGAUGAAAUUAGAAAGUUAGGCAAAGGCCAGACCAUAUGCAGAGAGAGGUUUUAAGCCAUUGAAGGGAGUGUGAAUUUUAUUCUAAUUGCUAUGGGAAAUGUGUGAAGAACUUUAGGCAGGAAAGUGACAUGAUAUAUUUGAAUCACACUCUGGUGCCUCUGAGCAGACUGAACUAUUGGGAAAAAAAAAAAAGUAGAAGCAGAGAUACCGGUGAGGAGCCUGCUCCAGCCGACCAGGCAAAGAUGAUAAAACACGACACUGGGAAUUCCAUCCCCAGCCUCAAAACGGAUGACCUCUCAGGAUGAGAGAGUGUUUAAGUAUCCAAGAGUUCCCGGCACAUACUUUAUACUCAGAAUGUUAGCGCCAUGUGCUUUUUUCUCUUUCUUUGGUGGAAAAAGCUAAGGAUACUUGGCUUUGUCCAAAUUUCUAAAAUGGGUCGUUCUACUUAAAGCAGGUGAGAUAAUGUCAUUAAAAGCAAGUAGACAUAUGUUUAAGUUCUGUUAAUGACUCUGUGACAGAAUACAGGCACACACACACACACACACACACACACACACACACACACACACAUAUAUAUGUUAACUUUAGGUGUCAGUGACUAGGCUAAAGGAUACCCAGGUAGCUGGUAAAACAUUAUUUUUGGGUGUGUCUGUGACUGUAUUUUAGGAAGAAGUUAGCAUUAGAGUCUGUAGGCUGAAUAAAGAAGAUCUUCUCUCAUCCAUGUGGGCAGGCAUCAUCCACUCUGUUGAGGAAGUGCCAGAAUAGAACAUAAAGCCAAAGGAAGGGUGGUCAAACAUUCUCUGUUUGAAUGAGAACAGCCAUCUUCUCCUGCCCUUAGCCAUCAGUGCUCCUGGUCCUUGGACCUUCAGACUUGAACCAGGACUUACAUCAUCAGCUCUCCUGGUUGUCAGGCCUUCAGACUUGAACUGAAUUAUACCACUGGCUUGCCUACUUCUCCAGCUUACACAUGGUGGUGGGACUUCUUGGCCUCCAUAAACACAUGGGCCAAUUCCUGUAAUAAAUUGCUCUCUCUCUCUUUCUGUGGUAUAUAUAUAUGUGUGUAUACACACAUAUAUAUGGUGUAUAUAUGUGUGUGUGUGUACACAGACACACAUACCUAUUGAUAUAUGGUAUUAGGGUUCUCUACAGAAAUAGAACCAAUAGUCUAAAUACCCCUGAGGGUCAUGGGAAUCUAAGCAUGUCAAUGGAGGCAUUUUUACAUUAUUAACUGAAGAAAAAUGUGGACUUUUAAUGAUUUUUUAAGAUUAGGGAACAAAAAUAAGUCAGGAGUCAAAUCAGGACUGUAAGGUGGAUGCCUGAUGAUUCCCUUUAAAACUCUUGCAAAAAUGCCCUUGUUUGAUGAGCAGAAUGAGCAGGAGCAUUGUCCGGGUGGAGAAGGAGUCUCUGGUGAAGCUUUCCUGGGCAAUUUUCUGCUAAGGCUCUGGCUGGCUUUCUCAAGAUACUCUCAUCAUAAUAAGCAGAUGUUAUUGUUCUUUGGGAAUCCAGAAGGUCAACAAGCAAAAUGCCUAGCGCAUUCCCCAGAAUGGUCACCUUUGCUCUUGACCAGUCCUCUUUUGCUCUGACUGGACCACUUCCACCUCUUGGUAGCCAUGGCUUUGAUUGUGCUUUGUCUUCAGGAUUGUACCGGUAAAACCAUGUUUCCUCUCCUGUUACAAUUCUUUGAACAAACGCUUCAGAUUAUUGAUCCCUCUUGUUUGAAAUUUCCAUAGAAAACUCUGCUCUUCUUUGCAGCUGAUCUUGGAGCAACAGUUUUGGCACCCAUUAAGGGGAAAGUUCACUCAACUUAAUUUUUUAGUCAGAAUUGUGUAAGCUGAACCAAUUGUGAUGUCUGUAGUGUUAGCUAUUGUUUCUGCUGUUAAUUGACAGUCCCCUUUAAUUGGGGGCAUGAACAAGACUUUUUUUUUCCUUGCAAAUUGAUGUGAAUGGUCUGCUGCUGUGGGCUUCAUCUUCAGCAUUGUCUCAUCCCUUCUUGAAACAACUUUUUGGGGCUCCUGGAGGCAGCAGAGGCUGAGGCCUGGAGCCAGGCUGGGGCAGCCCUAGGAGGCGUCUUAGCCAAAGCAGGUGUCCUUCGGGGGCCACAGGCCGCCCACCUGCCUCAGGCCCUUGGCCACCCCUCCCCUCCCUGCGCCCAGUCCCCAGUCGUGCCAGAGAAGCUGUGCUACUGCCUGGUGGGAAUUGGGGGAAGGGAAGUCGAGAAGAAGGUCCUGGGGUAGAGCUCGGGCCUGCUGCCCACACAGACUGCCGUGGCUGAGAGAGUAGGAUCUGGCCGUCCCUGUGCCUGUCUUCUUGGAAGGAGCAGGGGCGCCUUGUAGCUGCACCUGUGAGGAGCAGGAUUCUGCUGCAGGCACUCAGCCAGCAGCUGCAGGCUCUGUUGUUUUUACACCGGUGACAAAUGACAUGGCCAGACACACUGCAAUGUCUGAAGAAACCUCUGUAGAAGAGCAGGAUGCUGUGGACGCGCUGUGGCCCAGACAGAGGCUGCCAAGCAGAUGGAACCUGCACUCGGCCAAUUUGGCCAAAGAAGCCCCCAUACUCUCCGUGAAAGAGUUCCACCAGAAGCUGUUGUGUCAGUAACAGUCUCAAAAAAAAAAAAAAUCAAACAACAACAACAACAACAAAAACCCCACAAACCCACCAACACUAAAGAUCAGUUUUGAGUCUGAUUUGAAAGCUAGGAUCCAAUUCUGCAGAGGCAUUGACAUGGCGAGACACCAUCCUAAUAGCCAGAUCUGCAGGUUCCUCCAUCAUGCCAGUGAGAAUGCUCCAUUCACCAUUCCUCAGCUUCUUGUUCUGGUUUCAGAGUUCUGUCUGUAUUGGAGGAGUGUUAAAGCUAGAGGGGUCUUUACCCACUUCCUCUUAUGCCCAGAUCUGAAUAUGGAGGUCAAGAGGGGAAAGUGACAUGUCCUAAGUCUGAGUAGAGUGAACACCCUGCAGAGAGGCCUGGCCUGCUCGCUCGUCAGACUCUGGGACUUGUGCUGUGAGUUCUUUACCCCUUUAUAGGUUCUAUACCUACUUCAUUUUGUGUAUUUACAAAGAUAAAAGCAUUUAAUCAUUAGUUAUUAAUGUUAAGUACACAGCAAAAGCAUAAAUAUGACCUUUAUUCUUGGCUUCAAACCUGAUCUAACUUGCUGAAUUUCUUAUGGGGUCAUAGAUUCAGGGAGAUUCAGGGUGAAUGACUGAUUGUAUUUGUUUUCUAGGGCUGCUGUAAAAGAUUACCACAAUUUGGUGGUUAAAAAAAACAAACAAACAGGAAUUUAUUCUCUUACUGUUCUGGAGACCAGAAAUCUGAAAUCAGGGUGCCAGUAAAAGGCCCUAAUCCUUGCAAAGGUUCUAGGGAGGAUCCUUUCUUGCCUCGUCCAGCUUCUGGUGGCUCUUGCAGUUCCUUGGCUUGUGGCUGCAUCACUCCAAUCCCUGCCUCCAUCUUUACAUGGACUUCUCCUCUGGGUAUGCGUCUUCUCUUCUAUCUCAUAAUGUCCUUAGAUUUAGGGCCCCCACCCAUGUAAUCCAGGAUGAUCUUCUCAUCUUAACAUCCUUAAUUGAAUUAUAUCUGCAAAGACUCUUUUUUUUCCAUAGAAGAUUGCAUUCACAGGUUUUGGGUGUUAGGACAUGGACAUAUAUUUUGGGGGGGUCACCAUUCAACCUGUUGCAACUAUGGACUCUGUCUUGGACAAAAGGUUACUUUAGGAAAUCAGUGGCAUAAUUUGUCUACGUAUAAGAUGCAAGUUGAUGCAUUGCCCUGGAAUCAUUUCCUAAUUGCUUCCAGUAUGCAAAUCUUACCUCUUUGAUUAAGUUCUAAGUUGUAUGUUCAGGGCUUUUAAAAUUAAAUUCCUGGAUCUAAUUAUGAACUAGUGUCAUCCCAUUGUCUUGGCUUGCAAGAUUCCGAUAAGUUUGCUGUUAACUUUAUUUUUGUUCCUUGUAUAUAAUAUGUUAUUUUCUUCUCUGGCUGCUUUAAAAAUUUUUCUCUUUAUCAUGAGUUUUCAGAAAUUUGAUUAUGAUAUGCCUUAUUGUGUUUUUUAUUUGUUUGAUUACCUUGCUUAUGGUGUGUUGAGUUUCUUGGAUCUGUGAUCUUAAUUACUUUCAUCAGACUUGGAAAAAUUUUGUUCAUUAUUUCUUCAAAUAUUUUUCUCUGGCCUCUGUUUCUCAUUCUGAGACUUCAGUUAUAUAUAUUUUUCAGACAGCUUUGCAUUGUCCCGAGAGUCACUCAGUCUCUGUGCAUUUUUUCUUUCAGUCUUUUAAAAAAAAGUUCUGUGCUUUAUUUUGGACACAUUCGAUUACUAUGAGUUUCUGUCCCUGUGUCUUUUCUGUCUAAUUUUCUGCUAAUCCUAUCCAGUGAAUCGUGAAGAAUAAAGUUUUAUUUUAGAAUAGUCAUAGAUUUAUAGAAAAAUUGUGAAGAUAUACUCUGUAUAUCUGCUUUGCUAUAAAGAAAUGCCAGAGACUGGGUAAUUUAUAAAGAAGAGAGGUUUAACUGGCUUACGGUUCUGUAAGCUGUACAAGAAGCAUGAAUCUGGCAUCUGUUUGUCUUCUAGGGAGGUCUCAGGAAACUUUCAGUCAUGGUGGAAGGCAAUGAGGAAGCAGGCAGUACAUCUUACAUGGCCGGAGUAGGAGGAAGAGAGAGAGGGGAAAGGUUCUACACAUUUUUAAAUGACCAGAUCUCACAAUAACUCACUCACCCACUAUUGCUAGGACAACACCAAGGGGGAUGUGUUAAGCCAGGAGAAGCCACCCCCAUGAGCCAAUCAUCUCCUACCAAGCCCCACCUCCAACUUUGGGGAUUACAAUUCAAAAUGAGAUUUGGGUGGGAACACAGAUCCAAACCAUAUCACCCCAACCCAGUUUCAAUUUUCUGCAUAUGGCCAGCCAGUUUUCCCAGUGCCAUUUAUUAAAUAGGGAAUCCUUUCCCCAUUGCCUGUUUUUGUCAGGUUUGUUGAAGAUCAGAUGGUUGUAGAUAUGCAGUCUUAGUUCUGAGAUCUCUAUUCUGUUCCGUCGGUCUAUGUGUCUUGUUUUUAUACCAGUACCAUGCUGUUUUGGUUACUGUAGCCUUGUAGCAUGGUUUGAAGUCAGGUAGUGUGAUGCCUCCAGCUUUGUUCUUUUUGCUUAGGAUUGUCUUGGCUAUACAGGCUCUUUUUUGGUUCCAUGUGAAUUUUAAAAUAGUUUUUUUCUAAUUAUGUGAAGAAUGUCAAUGGUAGUUUAAUGGGGAUAGCAAUGAAUCUAUAAAUUGCUUUGGGCAGUAUGGCCAUUUUCACGAUACUGAUUCUUCUUAUCCAUGAGCAUGGAAUUUUUUCCAUUUGUUUGUGUCCUCCCUGAUUUCUUUGAGCAGUGGUUUAUAGUUCUCCUUGAAGAGGUCCUUCACUUCCCUUGUUAGCUGUAUUCCUAGGUAUUUUAUUCUUUUUGUGGCAGUUGUGAAUGGGAGUUCAUUCAUGAUUUGCCUCUCUGCUUGCCUGUUGUUGGUAUAAAGAAUGCUUGUGAUUUUUGCAGAUUGAACAUAUUUUUUUAAAAAGAUAAAAAUAAAAAAUAACAAUAAAAUAAUACAAAUAAAAAUACUGUAUAACAACUAUUUACAUAGAAUUUACAUGGCAUUAUGUACUAUAAGUAAUCUAGAGAUGAUUUACUGUAUACAGGAGGAUGCACAUAAGUUAUAUACAAAUACUGCUCUGUUUUAUGUAAGGGACUUGAGUAUCUGUGAAUUUCCUCAUCCAUGGGGUCCUCAAACUAAUUGCCCUUAGAUAAUGAGGGAUGACUAUACUUUAUUUAUUUUAAUGCUCAAAAUUUUACAGCAUUGACUAUCCUUAGUUUGCUACUGUGUUCCUCUGACAUUUUACUUUUUAGCACUUUCUUACAUACUACCAUUUUUUAUUAGCACUUUUUAACUUCUGGCACUAUAAGAUGCUCCAGGCUCAUCUUGUAUAUUUCCUGCCCCAGUCCUAAAAUCAGUCAUUUCUCCAAGGAGGCCUGGUUCCUUUUGUUGGAGAAUGGUUUUAAAAACCAAGAUCUGAGCACUGGCUCUACUAAGUGAAAUUUUCAUUUCAGAUGGUGUACUUUUUUUUUUUUUUUUUUUUUUUUUUUGAGAUGGAGUCUCGCUCUGUUGCCCAGGCUGGAUUGCAGUGGUGUGAUCUCGGCUCACUGCAAGCUCCACCUCCCAGGUUCACACCAUUCUCCUGCCUCAGCCUCCUGAGUAGCUGGGAUUACAGGUGCCUGCCACCACACCCGGCUAAUUUUUCUAUUUUUUUUUUUAGUAGAGAUGGGGUUUCACUAUGUUGGUCAGGCUGGUCUUGAACUCCUGACCUCGUGAUCCACCCACCUCUGCCUCCCAAAGUUCUGGGAUUACAGGCGUGAGCCACCGCGCCUGGCCCAGAUGGUGUACUUUUAUCUUAGAAAUUUCAUUUGGUUCUUUUUUGAAAAUCUUCCAUUUAUUUCCUCAUUAGCUUCAUAUUUUCCUUGAGAUAUGCAUUCACAAUCAUAGUAGCUCUUUAAAAAUAUUCUUAUCUACUAGUUCUAUCAUCUCUGGCUUUUAUCCGUGAUUGUCUUUAUUGAUUGAUUUUUUCUCUCGAUUAUGGGUCAUAUUUUCUUACUUUUUGACAUGUUUGGUAAUUUUUUAUUGGAUUUUAGACAUUGUGAAUUUUACAUUGUUGUGUGUCUGGAUUUUUGUUUACUUGUUUUUUUAUCUUACUUUCAUAAUAUUUUGGUUUUGUUUAGGCAGGCAGUUAUACUUGCAGAUCAGUCAUCCCUUGAGACCUGUUUUUUAGUUUUGCUCAGGCAAGACUAAAAUAGCUUUCAGUCCAGAGAUUGUUCAGCCUUACCAGAGAGACAUGAAUACCUUGGAUAAUCAGUAAGGCCUCUCCAUUCUGGCUCUCAGGAGCUCGAUCAAUUCUAAGGCCCAUGCGAGCUCUGGGAAUAUUUAGUUUAGCAUGUUUUAGUCAUUCUUUGUCCAGCAGAGUGGAAUAUUGUUGUCCACAUACAUGGCCCAAUACUCAGCAAACGCUCAAGUAGACAUACUCUGUAUAAUCACGGCCCAAUACUCAGCAAAUGCUCAAGUAGACAUACUCUGUAUAAUCACGGCCCAAUACUCAGCAAACGCUCAAGUAGACAUACUCUAUAUAAUCACUUCCCUUCCAGAACUCUGCUUCACAACUUCCAGCUGCCUCAGCCUAUCUGAUCUCUGAUGUUUGUUUUCUCAACUCCCUUUCCUGGCUCUUUUUGAGUCCUCCCAUCAUUGCAACUGCAGUACAAAAAUUGCCUCUGUCAUAGAUGAUCACAGGGCUUACUUCGUUUGUUUCUUUCUUCUCAAGGAUCAUAGUCUUGUGCUGCUUAUUACUUAAUGCCUGAAAAUAAUUGCUUUAUAUGUUUUGUCCAGUUUUCUAGUUGUUUUCUCCAGGAUUUCAAGUCCAGUGCUUUUACUCUCUCAUGGCCAACGGUCCCUUUAGUUUUUAUCGUGAUGAUGGUCUUAAUCUCCACUUCUGAUCUUCAUUCUAAUGUUGUGCUAUACAUUGGGAUGCCUUUUAAAUUUGGAAAAUCAUGCUCUUGGAAAUUUUUUAGGAAACGUUCUUAUGUCUUUGCUAACUUCCUGUCUAUUGUCAUCUAAAUUUUCAUUUUCUGGAAUUUCCGUUGGAUAUUGGAUCCCUUGGAUUGAGCCUCCAUUUUCCUUGGUUCUUUCUCCCACCAGGUCCCUCCCUCGACACGUGGGGAUUACAAUUUGAGAUGAGAUAUGGGUGGGGACACAGAGUCAAAUCAUAUCAUCUUCCAAUUAUUCUAUUGAAUUUUAAAUUUCUAUCAUAUUUUUAUUUCUAAGAGCUUUUCUUUGUUCUCUACUUAUUCAUUUUUAUAUUACUUUGCUCUUAUUUCACAGAUGCAAUAUGUUCUCUCAUAUCACUAACGAGGUUAAUUAAAGUUUUUUUGCAGUCUUUUUCCUUGUAUCGUCUUGCUUUUUUCUGGUUCUUCUAUUCUGUUUGUUUUCAUAUUGGUCAUGUAAGAGUUUUUCCUUGAGUGUCUCUUCACCCGGGGGUGGAGGGGUCACUUUUUAAAAGUAAGGCACCAAGGGCCAGUGCAGUGGCUCAUGCCUGUAAUCUCAGCAAUUUGGGAGGCUGAGGUGGGAGGAUCACUGGAGCCCAGGAGGUUGGGGCUGCAGUGAGCUGUGGUCAUGCCACUGCACUCUAGCCUGGCUGACAGAGUAAGACCCUGUCUCAGUAAUAAUAAUAAUAAGAAGAAGAAAUCAAAAAGGCUGACCAGAAAGCUCUGUGUACAUGUGUUGGGCUUAUGAUGCUGGUGGCCUUCGUUGAGGAAAAUUGAGGGACCAGCUCCACUGAGGAAAAUUGAGGGUCUCCACAUAUCAUGAGUUUGCAAGUAUUUUCUCUGGCAUAGCAUCCUGCAAUUUCUUUUCUGAGGAUUUUACUUUGGUUGCUUUUCUGGGUCUGAGCAGUGGGAGGGGGAUGGAGAUAUCUCACUAUUUACUAAGCUGACUGUUCCUCAAUUCUUUUGCCUGGAAAAAACUCCAUUUUUGUCCUCUUCAGUAUCUGCAGCAAGAGGAGUCAACCAGCCACUUGAGAACUGGAUGGAGGUUGAGAAUUGGAGAGACUUAACUGUUCCCUAUUAGCUUAAUCCUGCUGUCCUUCUGUUCAGUUUCCCCUGUUCCUGUGCCUUGCCUUUGAAGAUUCUAUGUGGAAAAUUAGCUCACUUCCCAUAGAAAGCCCCUCAACUCCCUUUGUGGGGAAUGAGGUUUGACUUUCUUUCUCUCUGCUAAGUCAUUUGUCAUUCCUUUUUCCAAAUUCUUUUUUCCUCAUUGACACAUAAUAGAUGUACAUAUUUUGGGGGGUACAUGUGAUAAUUUGUUGCAUUCAUACAUGUGCAAAGAUCAAAUCAGGGUAACUGGGAUAUCCAUGACCUUAAAUAUUUAUCCUUCUUCCAAAAUUGUGUCUUCUCAUUUCAUGUUUACAGAUAUUUCUUAGUUUCCUAAGGAUGGGGUGUAUUUCCGUGACUUGUUCUCCUUGCUGUUUCUGAGUUAUUUUUGAGACAGGGCAGCCGGUGAGUAUGUCUUUACUCUGCCAUUCUGAAACCAGGUCUCUUACAUUUUUAUAGCAGAAAACAUGGCUCACCAUAUCAUGGAUUUCUGUAGUUCCUUUGUUUUUUAAAGUUUAAAACCUAAAGUUAGAGAUAAACAAACUUUUAAUCUACUUUGGGCUUUACAUUGGCUAACUGGAAGAGAUGAAUUCUAUAGAAAAAGGGCUAUGGACACAUACCACCAAGCAUCUGGGUAGAAUCCUACUUUAGUGCACAGGUGUUCUGCCUGUGUGACCACAAGGUAAACAUCUGGAUAUUAGACAUUGUCUUCGUUAGUUUUCACCAGAUGUUUGGUGUUACGGAAUAGGCAUAGCCAUGUAAUUAAAUUAACUCGCACGUGAAACACUGAGUUAACAAAUAACCGGGCGCGGUGGCUCACGCCUGGAAUCCCCGCACUUUGGGAGGCUGAGGCGGGCGGAUCACGAGGUCAGGAGAUCGAGACCAUCCUGGCUAACACGGUGAAACCCCGUCUCUACUAAAAAUACAAAAAAUUAGCCAGUCGUGGUGGCGGGAGCCUGUAGUCCCAGCUACUCGGGAGGCUGAGGCAGGAGAAUGGCAUGAACCCGGGAGAUGGAGCUUGCGGUGAGCCAAAAUGGUGCCAUUGCACUCCAGCCUGGGCGACAGAGUGAGACUCUGUCUCAAAAAAACAAAAAACCAAAAACAAAACAAAUAACUUGAAGCUACUCUUCCGUACAUCCUGCAUGUGACCAUGAAUGAGUGAGCCUGUCAUUACGUCAGCCCAUCCACUGAUGAAUGCUAUAAGAGGGGCCAAGGAAUUCAUGUCUGCGGGCACUGACAUGAAAAGUUACUGACUGUAACUUUUCUCUUUCGUUCCUAAGGAAUCUGUUAAAGUAUCACAAGGAGAUAGUUUUCCAUCUAUGCUUUCAGAGGCUGAAGAGCUGUCUUAGAGAUUUGAUUAAAUGCACAUAUUUCUUCCACAUGUUGGAUCUAGGAUUCCUCCUACCAUCCCUAAUUUAACUGGGAAACAACCCUUCUUUUAUAACUCUACUGAUAUCUUGAAUAUAUAAUUCAGCAAAAUCCCCUUGGCUUGAAAACUGAGCUGGAUUGGACUAGAGGACCGAAUGCGUUUGUCAGAUUGGUGCUCUCGGUGGAGUGAGAAGAUGUUUAAGUCUGAAGGCCACUGUCAAGGAUUUUUAAGGCUGGAUAUUAGCAACAGAUACAUAUACACACAUAAAUCUACUUUUGAUUACUCUGCUCUUUAUUUUCAACCUGUUCUGUAAGGUAGAGCUCAAAUCCCACUCCCUGGCGGAAGCUUUCUGAGCCUUUCCUUGGGCGUCCUCACUGGCUUCCUUGUUUACGAUUGGCAGUUGGUUAGCUCUGUGCUUGACUGAUGCCAGUGUCACCUUGAAAUGAGGGACCUCUAUCUCCUGUACCUCAGAAGAGGUACAGUGGAAACUGGAUGAAGGCACCUGCUCUUCCCAAAGCCUCUGAACUGGCGCUGUGGGCUUAGAGUAGUGUUGAGCAGAAAUGUACACAGCACUUUGUUCUCCAAGCGCACUCAGUGCGACCGGCCCCACCAGCGGCUUCCUUCCUGGGGAUGCAUCCAGCCGGCCUGGAAGGUGCUGGGUCGGUUCUCCAAGGUGAUGUAGGCGAACUCCAUGGUACAAGGCAAAAGACCUCCAGAGUAGGUGCAGGAUUCAGGCCAGCAUGAGAGGAAUGUCCCUCCACCCCUCACAGUUCUACACUUUAGGAAACUCUCAUCCUUUAGGCAGCAGAGAUACACAGGAAGGGCUAAGAUGGGCUGCUGUCACAGGGAGAGCCGGCAGCCUCAGAGGGAACUGAGACGAUUGCUGGUUAAAAGUCUCUGCGUGGGUCUGUUGGGUGGCUUUGGGUAAAAGGACUCCCGCGGUCAGAUGUGGUGGCUCACGCCUGUAAUCCCAGCACUUUGGGAAGCCGAGGUGGGUGAUGGUUUGAGCUCAGGAGUUUGAGACCAGCCUGGGCAACAUGGUGAAACUCUGUCUCUACAAAAAAUACAAAAAAUUAGCCAGGUGUGGUGGCACAUGCCUGUGGUCUCAGCUGCUCGGGAGGCUGAAGUGGGAGGAUCACUUGAGCCUGGGAAGUCGAGGCUGCAGUGACCUCCGACUGCACCACUGAACUCCAGCCUGAGCAACAGAGCCAGGCUCUGUCUCGAAAAAACAAACAAAAAAAGGGACUUCUGCCAGAAGGCCCUUGAAGUGAUAUAAACAUAGUUGGCAGUAAAAAAAAAAUUAUAAUUAAUUGCCCAGGGCAGGUCACACACACACACACACACACACACACACACACCCUAAUAAAACAGAAAUCAGAAACUAAUGAUUUUAUUUUCUCUUUAAUUUUUUUCAUUUUCACAUUUUCAUUUUGUUUUAAAAAUUUUACUUUUUUCAAUAUAAGAAGAAUUAAUAACCGACCUGUCGUCAAGGUAACCAAUAUUAAUAGCUUGGCAUGUCCACCUUUCUAUCUUUUUUUAAUUCAAACUUUUUGGGGGGUGUCACUGUUGCCUUUGCAAAAAGGAGAUUAUAAUAUGAACAUUUCUUUGCACCUUGACUUUCAUUCUACAAUACAUCCUGUCCUCUUUCUAGAUCGACAGAUUUUUUUUUUCUUUUUGAGACAAGAUCUCACUCUGUCGCAUAAGCCGAAGUGCAUUGGUGCACUCUUGGCUUACUGCAACCUCUGUUUCCCGGGUUCAAGUGAUCCCCCCAGUUCAGCCUCCUAAAUAGUUGGGACUACAGGUGCAUGCCAUCAACACAGCUAAUUUUUUUUUUUUUUUUUUUUUUUUUGUAUUUUUGUAGAGACGGGAUUUCACCAAGUUGCCCAGGCUGGUCUCAAACUCCUGAGCUCAAGCCGUCCACCCAGCUUGGCCUCCCAAAGUGCUGGGAUUACAGGUGUGAGCCACUGCACCCAGUCAACAGAUAUUCUCAAUUUGUUCAUUUUUGUUGGUACAUAACAUUCCAGAGAGUGGAUCAACCACAGUUAAUUCAAUCACUUAGUUAUAAACAGACAUUCAAGUUUUUCCUAGUGAUUUUGUCACUACAAAUAAGUCUGUAGUGCUCUAAUGUUCUACUAUAAUUAUGUAUUAUUUAUUUUAGAAAAACAUUUAAAAUAUAUUAAUGAAAGAGAUUAAAAGAAAGAUAAUUAAACUAUGAAGCUGGGAAGCCCUAUACUAUAUAAUACUAUACAGUCAAUGAUUUUGAAUGAAUACAUAGAUGAAUGUACUAAAAUGUUACCUGGGAAUGUGGCUCCAUGCCAUUUGUCUCUUGCAAUAAUGAUCUUUUCAUUGCAGUCUAUGUCUCCCAAUGCACACUGCAAAGGCCUUAAGAUCAGGAACUAGGCCUUUCUUCCUUGGCUCCUCCAAAGCUCGGAGCAUAGCCGUGCCAAAGGCAAACAGUCCCAGGCCCACACAUCCCAGGGUGCUCUAACAGUUUCUUCUAAAAAAUAGCAGUUUAGACUUCAGAAUGAAAUUUUCCCAAGUAUACAAUGUUAUAAACUGGUGUAUUCUCAUGCCAGCCCACAAACCCUUCUUUUAACCCAUAAUGAAGCUGAACUAUGUACUUAUAAUAUUACAGUUUCUUAUUAUUUCUGUGGGAAAAAAUGUUCUGAAUUCCAAAUGAGGAUCUGGGCAGAAGAGCCCUCCUCUACUCUGUGUGCGUGUGUGUCUGCGUGUGUGUCUGCGUGUGUGUGUCUGUGUGUCUCGUGUGUGUCUGUGUGUGUGUGUGUCUGCGUGUGUGUGAGAGACAGAGAAGGGGAGAGAUCCUUUCCGUCAUUGCCCUCAAACAAGAUAUUCUUGUCUUUCCUCUUCUGCCGAUCUGGCUGGGUAUGGACAUUGAGCAAGUGAAGUAGGCAAUAUGAUAAGUAAAUAUGAAAGUGCCGGAAAGAAAGCCGAAGAACAAAUUUAACAUAGAUGUCUGAUGUUUUUCUUUGAGUCCUCAUUCAUUUUUGAGAUUUAAGAAUUUGAAUUUGAUUGCUAAGAAUAUAGUAAUUGAAAUUUAAUGUAAGCGAAAUGAAAUUUACAAUUAGAGAAGACACUUUAGUUGUUACACAUUUCUCAGAAUUCUUAAGUAUAUUUAAAACAUGAUAUUCAUCAAAACAAAAUGUUAUUUAGAUACUUAUGAUGAGCAUGGGAUGUAUGAUUUAUUAAUAGCUAUUGAGCUGGUCACACAUUAAUUGAUACAUUAUUUUUAUACUUUGGGAGCACUGAAUCCCAGAAAGUUUGUUCUUAUAUGUUAUUAUAAGUUCCUUUGGAGAGUCAGUAUUUGAACUGCUAAGGUAAAAACAAAUACUUCUAAAAAGGAAGUAUUUUGAUGAAAUGAAAGACUGGGAGAAACUAUACAGCAUUUGUAGGAAAAAAUUAUCAUCUAUCUAGAUUUAAAAAUUCUUAAAAGACAUGUUAAUCAGUGCUUUCUGUUUUGAAGCAUGGUAGAAAAAACAGCUAGGCAUUACAGCCAGUGAAUAUAAAAAAUCAUAAGCAUAUCAGGAAAUAGGUUCUGAAAUCACCUAUAAAAUUAUGUAAUAUUUUGUCUUUUUUUUUUUUGGAGACGAGUCUUUCACUGUUGCCCAGGCUGGAGUGCAGUGGUGCGAUCUUGGCUCACUGCAACCUCCACCUCCCAGGUUCAAGUGAUUCUCCUGCCUCAGCCUCCAAGUAGCUGGGAUUACUUACAGGCACCCACCACUAUGUCCAGCUAAUUUUUUGUAUUUUUGUGUUUUUAGUAGAGACGGGUUUUUUUUUUUUUUAUUUUGUUUUUUGUGAGACGGAAUCUCACUCUGUUGCCCAGGCUAGAGUGCAGUAGCGUUAUCUUGGCUCACUGCAAGCUCUGCCUCCCGGGUUCAUGCCAUUCUCCUGCCUUAGCCUCCCAAGUAGCUGGGACUACAGGCGCCCGCCACCACGCCUGGCUAAUUUUUUUUUGUAUUUUUAGUAGAGACAGGAUUUCACCGUGGUCUCGAUCUCCUGACCUCAUGAUCCGCCCCCCUCAGCCUCCCAGAGUGCUGGGAUUAUAGGAGUGAGCCACCACGCCUGGCCGAGGCAGGCUUUCACUGUUGGCCAGGCUGGUCCUCAAACUCCUGACCUCGUGAUCCACCCUCUUUGGCCUCCCAAAGUGCUGGGACUACAGGCAUGAGCCACUGCGCCCGGCCAGCAUUUUGUCUUAAUAAAAGUCAAAUCUCUUCUCAAAAAUGUUAACUUUCCAAUAGGAAAAAGAAUCACCCAUAGCCCAUCACUCAGAGACACCCACUGUUAAUGUUUUGAUGUACUUCCCUGUGGUUUCAUGUAUGUGCCCAUCUUUACGGUGGUCAUACUCUGUUCCUUUUACUCUCAAUGUAUAGCAGAAAUAUUUCCAACUAACAUGCUUAAGUUCAUAAUCGGCAAAAGUAUCAACAAAUGAAAAGAUAUCUGUGUGGUAAGAUAUUUCUAAGCAUUGUGAGAGAUGAUAGAAUGAGGGAUAACAUUCCUCCAAUUUCUCCAUCAGCAAAAAAGGUUUGUCAGAAACUGUCAUAACAGUGUGACAUCCACUGCACACAUUGUGAAACAAGCGGCCAUAAUGCUGUUGGUUGUGUGGAGUCUGGAUAAGUAAGUAACAAGGAGGAAGGGGCCCCAUGUUGGGGAGGGCCCCAAGUGGAGAAGAACAAUGAACAGUUGGGAGAGAUGGCUAAUCACAAACAUCGGUGGGCACAACGACAUCUGUUUUGUAGGUAGCCCUUCCAGCAUGACCCUAUUAGACUUCCCUCCAGCCUGUUUCUUUGCAGACAGCCCCUUCUCUGCUGUGCUGCCUGUUGCAACCUUGCAACAUAUUUUCAUACUUUUUUCAUACUUUCUCUAAAAAAUCUGCCUUUUUUUUUUUUUUUACCUACAACUAUCCUGGUAAAUCCUUUACCAACUGUGAAGACUGCCCUGGCUAGUAGCACCCGUGGCACAUUCUACAUCAUUGGAAAGACCAAAAGAUCUUAUCAAGAUAGGAAAUACAACUAAAGAAAAGUGGAGGCAUUUUGAGCAUAGUUUGACGAUGAUGGCCCUGUAAUGUGGGUAUCUCAUAAGUGGCUGGCUCUGCCUGGCUGCCCAACACAAUCUUGCUAACUAAGGUGAUGCUGGCCAAGCCUUCUCCUGUUUGCAGUACUGUUUCUUCUCUCCUUCAGUCUUACAGCAUUUCAGUCAUGUUUGGCUGCAUUUUCUUUCUUCUCUCCAAUUAUUUGAAAUGAAGUGAAACUAAUAGUUGAUAUUAAAGACUUUGAUUUUUUUUCCUAUAUUUUUAAGCAACAUAAUCUUUUUCCUAAAUGACAUCCUACCCAGAACUUCAAUAUGUAAGACAGAAAAAAGCAGACCUUCUUUGUUUGGAAAGGAGCGGUGCCUAAAGCCAGAAUCCACAGUUUCAGGUUGAGAAAAUAUAUGACGGGCUGUUGAAACCAGUAUUUUCUUUCAAAUUACAGCACAUUCAAAUUUUACUUAUGCUGAUUGUUUUGCCAACAAAAAUUCAGUUUCGCAGAAACCAUUUAUCACAUAAGGAGUUUCUGAUGGAAAAAUCUGAAAAUUUUUAGAAAUCAAAAAAGUGCUGGCCAGGCGCAGUGGCUUACACCUGUAAUCCCAGCACUUUGGGAGGCAGAGGUGGGCGGAUCACGAGGUCAAGAGAUCAAGACCAUGGUGAAACCCUGUCUCUAUUA